rnacentral:lncRNA from 1 species
CCGGUGGCUCGACCUCAGCCUGACAUCUCAUCUCGGCUGUCUCUGAGCUUCAUCACAUCCACCCUCUUUCCCCUCCCUCCCUAGAGGAAUUGCAUCUUUUGUCCGGAGACGCAGGGAACGGGGUGUUGACCAGAGGCAGUGUGACCCCCGCGUCCGUCAGGCCCCAAAAACUGCCCCCAUUGAGCAGAAGAGGCCUGUGUUUGGGAUGGGAUGGGGGUUGGGAAGGUUACAAGCCAGCGAUCAAGCACAAGACCUGCCCCGCAGCUCACUCCAACUCAACACACUUUCAGGAACAAAGAGGGAAAAACAUGCACAUUUUCUGCUCCCUCAAAAGACACUCCAGCUCCGCUCUUCAAGUUAACAUGAACACAUUCUGCCUGAACAAUGCAGCAGAUGCACAUCAUGGAGAUCAGGGGUUCAGUCUCUCUUACAGUGGCAUCUGCUAAAGUUGCAAUUAGCUGAAAACUGAAAAUAAAUAUUGUUGCAAACACUUUCUUUCUCAAUGCAAUUCAGUAACUGCUUUAUUGGUAUGACAAAUGUUAUAAAUGUAUUGCCAAGUAAAGG